rnacentral:sRNA from 1 species
UUCUUGUUCCUCGUCUUCUCUCUCGUU